rnacentral:rRNA from 1 species
UAGGGAAUUUUUCACAAUGAGCGAAAGCUUGAUGGAGCAAUGCCGCGUGAACGAUGAAGGUCUUUAAGAUUGUAAAGUUCUUUUAUUUGGGAAGAAUGACUUUAGCAGGUAAUGGCUAGAGUUUGACUGUACCAUUUUGAAUAAGUGACGACUAACUAUGUGCCAGCAGUCGCGGUAAUACAUAGGUCGCAAGCGUUAUCCGGAUUUAUUGGGCGUAAAGCAAGCGCAGGCGGAUUGAAAAGUCUGGUGUUAAAGGCAGCUGCUUAACAGUUGUAUGCAUUGGAAGCUAUUAAUCUAGAGUGUGGUAGGGAGUUUUGGAAUUUCAUGUGGAGCGGUGAAAUGCGUAGAUAUAUGAAGGAACACCAGUGGCGAAGGCGAAAACUUAGGCCAUUACUGACGCUUAGGCUUGAAAGUGUGGGGAGCAAAUAGGAUUAGAUACCCUAGUAGUCCACACCGUAAACGAUAGAUACUAGCUGUCGGGGCGAUCCCCUCGGUAGUGAAGUUAACACAUUAAGUAUCUCGCCUGGGUAGUACAUUCGCAAGAAU